rfam:Gossypium hirsutum cultivar TM-1 chromosome 12, whole genome shotgun sequence
AGCCCAUGGUGAGGGCACCUUCUCAAUAGAUCCUUAUACCUCUCCCAUGCAUCUAUAGGCUCUCUAAGUCCAUUUUCACAAAGGAAGCGAUAUCAUUCCUCAACUU